rnacentral:rRNA from 1 species
GCAAGUCGAGCGGUAGCACAGAGAGCUUGCUCUCGGGUGACGAGCGGCGGACGGGUGAGUAAUGUCUGGGAAACUGCCUGAUGGAGGGGGAUAACUACUGGAAACGGUAGCUAAUACCGCAUAACGUCGCAAGACCAAAGUGGGGGACCUUCGGGCCUCAUGCCAUCAGAUGUGCCCAGAUGGGAUUAGCUAGUAGGUGGGGUAACGGCUCACCUAGGCGACGAUCCCUAGCUGGUCUGAGAGGAUGACCAGCCACACUGGAACUGAGACACGGUCCAGACUCCUACGGGAGGCAGCAGUGGGGAAUAUUGCACAAUGGGCGCAAGCCUGAUGCAGCCAUGCCGCGUGUGUGAAGAAGGCCUUCGGGUUGUAAAGCACUUUCAGCGGGGAGGAAGGCGGUGAGGUUAAUAACCUUGGCGAUUGACGUUACCCGCAGAAGAAGCACCGGCUAACUCCGUGCCAGCAGCCGCGGUAAUACGGAGGGUGCAAGCGUUAAUCGGAAUUACUGGGCGUAAAGCGCACGCAGGCGGUCUGUCAAGUCGGAUGUGAAAUCCCCGGGCUCAACCUGGGAACUGCAUUCGAAACUGGCAGGCUAGAGUCUUGUAGAGGGGGGUAGAAUUCCAGGUGUAGCGGUGAAAUGCGUAGAGAUCUGGAGGAAUACCGGUGGCGAAGGCGGCCCCCUGGACAAAGACUGACGCUCAGGUGCGAAAGCGUGGGGAGCAAACAGGAUUAGAUACCCUGGUAGUCCACGCCGUAAACGAUGUCGAUUUGGAGGUUGUGCCCUUGAGGCGUGGCUUCCGGAGCUAACGCGUUAAAUCGACCGCCUGGGGAGUACGGCCGCAAGGUUAAAACUCAAAUGAAUUGACGGGGGCCCGCACAAGCGGUGGAGCAUGUGGUUUAAUUCGAUGCAACGCGAAGAACCUUACCUGGUCUUGACAUCCACAGAACUUAGCAGAGAUGCUUUGGUGCCUUCGGGAACUGUGAGACAGGUGCUGCAUGGCUGUCGUCAGCUCGUGUUGUGAAAUGUUGGGUUAAGUCCCGCAACGAGCGCAACCCUUAUCCUUUGUUGCCAGCGGUCCGGCCGGGAACUCAAAGGAGACUGCCAGUGAUAAACUGGAGGAAGGUGGGGAUGACGUCAAGUCAUCAUGGCCCUUACGACCAGGGCUACACACGUGCUACAAUGGCAUAUACAAAGAGAAGCGACCUCGCGAGAGCAAGCGGACCUCAUAAAGUAUGUCGUAGUCCGGAUUGGAGUCUGCAACUCGACUCCAUGAAGUCGGAAUCGCUAGUAAUCGUAGAUCAGAA